rnacentral:rRNA from 1 species
GGUGGUGCAUGGCCGUUCUUAGUUGGUGGAGUGAUUUGUCUGGUUAAUUCCGUUAACGAACGAGACCCCCGCCUGCUAAAUAGUCCGGUGAAUGAGUCUUCAUUGACCUGGCCUUCUUAGAGGGACUUUUGGUGACUAACCGAAGGAAGUUGGGGGCAAUAACAGGUCUGUGAUGCCCUUAGAUGAUCUGGGCCGCACGCGCGCUACACUGAUGCAUUCAACGAGUGUAGAACCUUGGCCGAGAGGCCUGGGUAAUCUUGUGAACGUGCAUCGUGAUAGGGAUUGAAUAUUGCAAUUAUUAUUCAUGAACGAGGAAUUCCUAGUAAACGCAGAUCAUCAAUCUGCAUUGAUUACGUCCCUGCCCUUUGUACACACCGCCCGUCGCACCUACCGAUUGAAUCAUCAGGUGAAGCCUCGGGAUUGCGGUCCAUUCCUUCAGUGGGAUGUGGCUGUGAGAACUUGUCUAAACUUUAUCAUUAGAGGAAGGGAAGUCGAACAGA